rnacentral:rRNA from 1 species
UAGGGAAUCUUCGGCAAUGGACGAAAGUCUGACCGAGCAACGCCGCGUGAGUGAAGAAGGUUUUCGGAUCGUAAAACUCUGUUGUUAGAGAAGAACAAGGACGUUAGUAACUGAACGUCCCCUGACGGUAUCUAACCAGAAAGCCACGGCUAACUACGUGCCAGCAGCCGCGGUAAUACGUAGGUGGCAAGCGUUGUCCGGAUUUAUUGGGCGUAAAGCGAGCGCAGGCGGUUUAUUAAGUCUGAUGUGAAAGCCCCCGGCUCAACCGGGAAGGGGUAUGGGAAACUGGGAGAGUGGGGUGCAGAAGAGGAGAGUGGAAUUCCAUGUGUAGCGGUGAAAUGCGUGGAUAUAUGGAGGAACACCAGUGGCGAAGGGGGCUCGCUGGGCUGUAACUGACGCGGAGGCUCGAAAGGGUGGGGAGAAAACAGG